rnacentral:rRNA from 1 species
AACGAACGCUGGCGGCGUGGAUAAGACAUGCAAGUCGAACGGGAUCAUUGGAGUAGCAAUACAACGAUGGUCUAGUGGCGAACGGGUGCGUAACACGUGGAUACAUUCCGGGAAGCGGGGGAUAGCCCAGGGAAACUUGGAUUAAUACCGCAUGUGAUCGAGAGAUCAAAGACGGGGACCGCAAGGCCUGUCACUUCCCGAUUGGUCCGCGGCCUAUCAGCUAGUUGGCGGGGUAAAGGCCCACCAAGGCUACGACGGGUAGCUGGUCUUAGAGGACGACCUGCCACACUGGAACUGAGACACGGUCCAGACACCUACGGGUGGCAGCAGUCGAGAAUCUUUCACAAUGGGGGCAACCCUGAUGGAGCGACGCCGCGUGGAGGAUAAGGUCUUCGGAUUGUAAACUCCUGUCAUGUGAGAACAAGGUUGCAGGGUUAAUACCUUUGCAAAUUGAUGGUAUCACAAGAGGAAGAGACGGCUAACUCUGUGCCAGCCGCCGCUGUAACAC